UACGGGGGGGCAAGCGUUGUUCGGAAUUGAUCUGGGUCGGUAAAGGGCUCGUAGGUCGGCCAACUAAGUCGGACGAUGAAAUCCCGUCGGACCUUAACCGAUGGAACUGCGUCCGAUACUGGAUGGCUUGAAGUUUGGGAGAGGGAGUGCGGAAUUCGAGGUGUAGCGGUGAAAUGCGUAGAUAUCUGGAGGAACACCGGUGGCGAAGGCGGCAUCCUGGGACCAACACUCGGACCGCUGAGGGAGGCGGAAAAGCCCAGGGGGA
rnacentral:rRNA from 1 species